CCUACGGGAGGCAGCAGUGGGGAAUAUUGCACAAUGGGCGCAAGCCUGAUGCAGCGACGCCGCGUGAGGGAUGACGGCCUUCGGGUUGUAAACCUCUUUCAGUAGGGAAGAAGCGAAAGUGACGGUACCUGCAGAAGAAGCGCCGGCUAACUACGUGCCAGCAGCCGCGGUAAUACGUAGGGCGCAAGCGUUAUCCGGAAUUAUUGGGCGUAAAGAGCUCGUAGGCGGUUUGUCGCGUCUGCCGUGAAAGUCCGGGGCUCAACUCCGGAUCUGCGGUGGGUACGGGCAGACUAGAGUGAUGUAGGGGAGACUGGAAUUCCUGGUGUAGCGGUGAAAUGCGCAGAUAUCAGGAGGAACACCGAUGGCGAAGGCAGGUCUCUGGGCAUUAACUGACGCUGAGGAGCGAAAGCAUGGGGAGCGAACAGGAUUAGAUACCCUGGUAGUCCAUGCCGUAAACGUUGGGCACUAGGUGUGGGGGACAUUCCACGUUUUCCGCGCCGUAGCUAACGCAUUAAGUGCCCCGCCUGGGGAGUACGGCCGCAAGGCUAAAACUCAAAUGAAUUGACGG
rnacentral:rRNA from 1 species